CGAUAAAGGGGGUGAAAAACCUCCUCGCCGGAAGACCAAGGGUUCCUGUCCAACGUUAAUCGGGGCAGGGUAAGUCGACCCCUAAGGCGAGGCCGAAAGGCGUAGUCGAUGGGAAACGGGUUAAUAUUCCCGUACUUCUUACAAUUGCGAUGGGGGACGGAGAAGGCUAGGUGGGCCUGGCGACGGUUGUCCAGGUUCAAGUGCGUAGGCUUAAGAGUUAGGUAAAUCCGGCUCUUUUUAAGGCUGAGACACGACGUCGAGCAUCUACGGAUGUGAAGUCAUUGAUGCCAUGCUUCCAGGAAAAGCCUCUAAGCUUCAGAUUGUAAGGAAUCGUACCCCAAACCGACACAGGUGGUCGGGUAGAGAAUACCAAGGCGCUUGAGAGAACUCGGGUGAAGGAACUAGGCAAAAUGGUACCGUAACUUCGGGAGAAGGUACGCUCUCGACGGUGAAGUCCCUCGCGGAUGGAGCUAUUGAGAGUCGCAGAUACCAGGUGGCUGCAACUGUUUAUUAAAAACACAGCACUGUGCAAAAUCGUAAGAUGACGUAUACGGUGUGACGCCUGCCCGGUGCCGGAAGGUUAAUUGAUGGGGUUAGACUUCGGUCGAAGCUCUUGAUCGAAGCCCCGGUAAACGGCGGCCGUAACUAUAACGGUCCUAAGGUAGCGAAAUUCCUUGUCGGGUAAGUUCCGACCUGCACGAAUGGCGUAAUGAUGGCCACGCUGUCUCCACCCGAGACUCAGUGAAAUUGAAAUCGCUGUGAAGAUGCAGUGUACCCGCGGCUAGACGGAAAGACCCCGUGAACCUUUACUACAGCUUGGCACUGAACAUUGACCCUACAUGUGUAGGAUAGGUGGGAGGCUUUGAAGCACGUACGCCAGUAUGUGUGGAGCCGUCCUUGAAAUACCACCCUUGUAGUGUUGAUGUUCUAACGUCGACCCCUUAUCGGGGUUGCGGACAGUGCCUGGUGGGUAGUUUGACUGGGGCGGUCUCCUCCCAAAGAGUAACGGAGGAGCACGAAGGUGGGCUAAUCACGGUUGGACAUCGUGAGGUUAGUGCAAUGGCAUAAGCCCGCUUGACUGCGAGAAUGACAAUUCGAGCAGGUGCGAAAGCAGGUCAUAGUGAUCCGGUGGUUCUGAAUGGAAGGGCCAUCGCUCAACGGAUAAAAGGUACUCCGGGGAUAACAGGCUGAUACCGCCCAAGAGUUCAUAUCGACGGCGGUGUUUGGCACCUCGAUGUCGGCUCAUCACAUCCUGGGGCUGAAGUCGGUCCCAAGGGUAUGGCUGUUCGCCAUUUAAAGUGGUACGCGAGCUGGGUUUAGAACGUCGUGAGACAGUUCGGUCCCUAUCUGCCGUGGGCGUUGGAAGAUUGAAGGGGGCUGCUCCUAGUACGAGAGGACCGGAGUGGACGAACCUCUGGUGUUCGGGUUGUGUCGCCAGACGCAUUGCCCGGUAGCUAAGUUCGGAAUCGAUAACCGCUGAAAGCAUCUAAGCGGGAAGCGAGCCCUGAGAUGAGUCUUCCCUGAUACUUUAAGUAUCCUAAAGGGUUGUCGGAGACUACGACGUUGAUAGGUCAGGUGUGUAAGUGCUGUGAGGCAUUGAGCUAACUGAUACUAAUUGCCCGUGAGGCUUAACCAU
rnacentral:rRNA from 1 species